GAGACCGAAGUACAUGAUUCCAUGCUUCCAAGAAAAGCAUCUAGAGAGAGAAGUAGUGCCCGUACCGCAAACCGACACAGGUAGAUGAGGAGAGAAUCCUAAGGCCGGCGGAAGAAUUGCAGUUAAGGAACUAGGCAAAUUGACCCCGUAAGUUCGCGAGAAGGGGUGCCUGCGAGAGCAGGCCGCAGAGAAUAGGCCCAAGCAACUGUUUAGCAAAAACACAGGUCUCUGCUAAAGCGCAAGCUGAUGUAUAGGGGCUGACGCCUGCCCGGUGCUGGAAGGUUAAGGGGAACACUUAGCGUAAGCGAAGGUGUGAACUUAAGCCCCAGUAAACGGCGGCCGUAAGGAUAACGGUCCUAAGGUAGCGAAAUUCCUUGUCAGGUAAGUUCUGACCCGCACGAAUGGCGUAAUGACUUGGGCACUGUCUCAACUGCAAAUCCGGCGAAGUUGUAGUGCGAGUGAAGAUGCUCGCUACCCGCGAUUGGACGGAAAGACCCCGUAGAGCUUUACUGCAGCUUAGCAUUGAAUCUCGGUAUUGUCUGUACAGGAUAGGUGGGAGACUGGGAAACUAGGGCGUCAGCCUUAGUGGAGUCACCCUUGGGAUACCACCCUGACAGUACUGGGGUUCUAACAGGACGCCAUGAAUCUGGUGACUGGACAUUGUUAGGUGGGCAGUUUGACUGGGGCGGUCGCCUCCUAAAAAGUAACGGAGGCGCCCAAAGGUUCCCUCAGAACGGUCGGAAAUCGUUCGAAGAGUGCAAAGGCAGAAGGGAGCCUGACUGCGAGACUUACAAGUCGAGCGGGGACGAAAGUCGGGCUUAGUGAUCCGGUGGUACCUCGUGGGAGGGCCAUCGCUCAACGGAUAAAAGCUACCUCGGGGAUAACAGGCUGAUCUCCCCCAAGAGUCCACAUCGACGGGGAGGUUUGGCACCUCGAUGUCGGCUCGUCGCAUCCUGGGGCUGUAGUAGGUCCCAAGGGUUGGGCUGUUCGCCCAUUAAAGCGGCACGCGAGCUGGGUUCAGAACGUCGUGAGACAGUUCGGUCCCUAUCCGUCGCGGGCGUAGGAAAUUUGAGAGGAGCUGUCCUUAGUACGAGAGGACCGGGGUGGACUGACCUCUGGUGUACCAGUUGUUCUGCCAAGAGCAUAGCUGGGUAGCUAAGUCGGGAAGGGAUAAACGCUGAAAGCAUCUAAGCGUGAAGCCCACCUCAAGAUGAGAUUUCCCAUAGCAUAAGCUAGUAAGAUCCCUUGAAGAACACAAGGUUGAUAGGUCAGAGGUGUAAGUGCGGUAACGUAUUUAGCUGACUGAUACUAAUAGGUCGAGGGCUUGACCG
rnacentral:rRNA from 1 species